GUAGGUGGCAAGCGUUGUCCGGAAUUAUUGGGCGUAAAGCGCGCGCAGGCGGUCCUUUAAGUCUGAUGUGAAAGCCCACGGCUCAACCGUGGAGGGUCAUUGGAAACUGGGGGACUUGAGUACAGAAGAGGAAAGCGGAAUUCCAAGUGUAGCGGUGAAAUGCGUAGAGAUUCGGAGGAACACCAGUGGCGAAGGCGGCUUUCUGGUCUGUAACUGACGCUGAGGCGCGAAAGCGUGGGGAGCAAACAGGGAUUAGAUACCCUGGUAGUCCACGCCGUAAACGAUGAGUGCUAAGUGUUAGGGGGUUUCCCGCCCCUUAGUGCUGCAGCUAACGCAUUAAGCACUCCGCCUGGGGAGUACGGCCGCAAGGCUA
rnacentral:rRNA from 1 species